rnacentral:rRNA from 1 species
GACGAACGCUGGCGGCGUGCUUAACACAUGCAAGUCGAACGGAAAGGCCACCUGCUUGGUUACUCGAGUGUCGAACGGGUGGGUAACACGAGAGUAGCCUACCCUUCCCAUUGGGAUAACUUCACUAAGCUGAGGCGGAUAUCGUAUAGGAGCUCCUGCUGCACGGUGGGGGUUGGUAGGUUACGGCGGUUUUGGUGGCACUUGGGGCUUGUCCGCCGGGUGAUUGGCUAGUGGGUGAGGUAGUGGCUGACCAAGGGCCCGCCGGGUAGGCGGCCUGGGAGGGUGACCGGCGACAUGGGGACUGCGAUACGGCCCAGAAUCGUACGGGCGGCAGUAGUGGGGAAUAUUGCAGAACGGGGGGAAGUCUGAUGCAGCAACGCCGCGUGCGGGAUGCCGGCUUUCGGGUUGUAAACCGCUUUCGAAUGUGGCGAAGCGUGAGUGACGGUAAUGGGUAAAGAAGCACCGGCUAACUACGUG